rnacentral:rRNA from 1 species
CCGCGUGGGUGAAGAAGGCUUCGGGUUGUAAAGCCCUUUUGUUGGGAAAGAAAAGCAUUCGGUUAAUACCCGAUUGUUCUGACGGUACCCAAAGAAUAAGCACCGGCUAACUUCGUGCCAGCAGCCGCGGUAAUACGAAGGGUGCAAGCGUUACUCGGAAUUACUGGGCGUAAAGCGUGCGUAGGUGGUUGUUUAAGUCUGUCGUGAAAGCCCUGGGCUCAACCUGGGAAUUGCGAUGGAAACUGGGCGACUAGAGUGUGGCAGAGGGUAGUGGAAUUCCUGGUGUAGCAGUGAAAUGCGUAGAGAUCAGGAGGAACAUCCGUGGCGAAGCGACUGCCUGGGCCACACUGACACUGAGGCACGAAAGCGCGGGGAGCAAACAGGAUUAGAUACCCUGGUAGUCCACGCCCUAACGAUGCGACUGGAUGUUGGGUGCAUUUGGCACGCA